AAUAACAACCCAGUCUCACGGCAUUUCGUGAUUUGGUCACGAAAUUUAAUCUAUUUAUUCGUGGCAGGAACACGUUUAUUUCGUUAUUUUCGUAAUUCCAGCACGUUUUUUAAACUAAUGUAUUUCAAUUGGAUGGAUCUUUCGUGCAUAUAGCACGAUUUUUUCUGCCAGUCGGGCUGCAGUAGGGAAGCUAAACAUUUAUUCACAAGAUCUUAUCAAGACUGCAAUAUAUAAGAAUAAAUAGGAAUCGGCAACAAUUAACGAUCUAUGCCAGCGCAAGUCAAUAUUUAUCUGGUCAUUUUCAACUGGUUUUUAAUGUUAAAAGUCCCUCGCAGUCAACAGCUGUUUCCGUCCUGUAAUAACUGUGACGUCAUCGAAUGAGACGAAGGUCCAUGGCUGUUUCAACUCGGAAGUUGAGAUGAAGGUGCGGAAACUUGAGGCUGUCGGAUACAAGUCAAUUGUAUUUACUGGGAAACGGGAUAAAAAGGACCUGCCGGAGAGCCUCGCCGUGGAGCUGCCAGAGAGCAUCGUCAUGGAACGGCCGGAGAAUCUCAACAAGGAGUCUGAGGCUGUUGUCGAUAAAAUAACUGGGGAAUUGAUAAAUAAGGGGAAAGCUGAAUUGGAAGUUCACUGGUGACCGUGCUCUGUGUGUGGCAAAACCUGGGAUGACACAUGGGAGACUGCCAGCGAAUUCCAACACAAGUCCCACAUCCCAACCAGCUUUCAGCAUGACGGCCUACACCUUUUUAUUAUCAAGCACCUUUCAAUUCUUUUUGAUUGUCUUUGCUUGCUGUUCUUUAUUAAAGUUUUUGCACAGUA